rnacentral:rRNA from 1 species
UGAACGCUGGCGGCAGGCCUAACACAUGCAAGUCGGACGGUAGCACAGAGAGCUUGCUCUCGGGUGACGAGUGGCGGACGGGUGAGUAAUGUCUGGGAAACUGCCCGAUGGAGGGGGAUAACUACUGGAAACGGUAGCUAAUACCGCAUAACGUCUUCGGACCAAAGUGGGGGACCUUCGGGCCUCACACCAUCGGAUGUGCCCAGAUGGGAUUAGCUAGUAGGUGGGGUAAUGGCUCACCUAGGCGACGAUCCCUAGCUGGUCUGAGAGGAUGACCAGCCACACUGGAACUGAGACACGGUCCAGACUCCUACGGGAGGCAGCAGUGGGGAAUAUUGCACAAUGGGCGCAAGCCUGAUGCAGCCAUGCCGCGUGUAUGAAGAAGGCCUUCGGGUUGUAAAGUACUUUCAGCGGGGAGGAAGGCGAUGGAGUUAAUAGCUUCAUCGAUUGACGUUACCCGCAGAAGAAGCACCGGCUAACUCCGUGCCAGCAGCCGCGGUAAUACGGAGGGUGCAAGCGUUAAUCGGAAUUACUGGGCGUAAAGCGCACGCAGGCGGUCUGUCAAGUCGGAUGUGAAAUCCCCGGGCUUAACCUGGGAACUGCAUUCGAAACUGGCAGGCUAGAGUCUUGUAGAGGGGGGGUAGAAUUCCAGGUGUAGCGGUGAAAUGCGUAGAGAUCUGGAGGAAUACCGGUGGCGAAGGCGGCCCCCUGGACAAAGACUGACGCUCAGGUGCGAAAGCGUGGGGAGCAAACAGGAUUAGAUACCCUGGUAGUCCACGCCGUAAACGAUGUCGACUUGGAGGUUGUGCCCUUGAGGCGUGGCUUCCGGAGCUAACGCGUUAAGUCGACCGCCUGGGGAGUACGGCCGCAAGGUUAAAACUCAAAUGAAUUGACGGGGGCCCGCACAAGCGGUGGAGCAUGUGGUUUAAUUCGAUGCAACGCGAAGAACCUUACCUACUCUUGACAUCCAGCGAAUUCGGUAGAGAUACCUUAGUGCCUUCGGGAACGCUGAGACAGGUGCUGCAUGGCUGUCGUCAGCUCGUGUUGUGAAAUGUUGGGUUAAGUCCCGCAACGAGCGCAACCCUUAUCCUUUGUUGCCAGCGGUCCGGCCGGGAACUCAAAGGAGACUGCCGGUGAUAAACCGGAGGAAGGUGGGGAUGACGUCAAGUCAUCAUGGCCCUUACGAGUAGGGCUACACACGUGCUACAAUGGCGUAUACAAAGAGAAGCGACCUCGCGAGAGCAAGCGGACCUCAUAAAGUACGUCGUAGCCCGGAUUGGAGUCUGCAACUCGACUCCAUGAAGUCGGAAUCGCUAGUAAUCGUAGAUCAGAAUGCUACGGUGAAUACGUUCCCGGGCCUUGUACACACCGC